AAUGCGCGCAAGAAGGGAGGUGGCAAAAAUCAUGUCCACCGGGGGGGCUCAGAGGCAGAGUCUUGCUUUGUUGUCCAGGCUGGUCUUGAACUUCUGAGCUCAAGUGAUCCUCCCGCCUUGGCCUCCCAAAGUGCUGAGACUACAGAGAGAGAAUGCUAACGAGCUGUGAAAUGACCAAAGAUCUGGCAGCAGAAGGGAAAAGAAAAAAUAAUGGGAAGAAGAGGAUUUAUCUGACUCAACUGGAGAUGGCUCCCUUCCCUUAUUUAUUGUUGCAUCCUGAAGCUUCCCCCAUGCUGGGCUCAGUGUGAACAAACAGCGCGGGAGAAUGCAACCACUGCAGAGGCAUAUGUUUGAGAUACCUGGCCACUGGAGGUCAUCUCGUCUACUAUAUUCACCGCAGAUAAAGAAUGAAAAGAGAAUACACAACCUUGUGAUUGCUAGCAGUGAAAGCUCAGAGUUAUGACAUAACAGAAUUGGCUCAUGUGACUAUGGAGGCUGAGAUGUCCCAAGAGCUGGAUACCCAGGAGAAGCAAAGAGGGAGCUGAUAUCAUAAGGCACCCUGUCUCAGCACUCUCCCAACUUUGUCCCCAGGCAGUGAGUGCUUCAUGGCCAGAGAGAGAUAGGACUGAACCCUCGUACCUUCAAACAUAUCUAAAUCUCUGGUGCAGUUCAGGAUAUUAUCCAUGAGCCUGUGUUUCAUGUAAUUGUCAUGUUUCUUCGGAUUCCUUCAAACUGCUACAGCUUCUGUGUCUAUCCCUGUCUUCCAUGUGCUUGACAGCUUUGAAGAGUACAGGUCCUUCAUUCAGUAGAAUGACCACCAAGCCAGGUCCACCAGAUGUUUCAUCAUGGUUUUAGUGAGGUUAUAAAUUCUGGGCAGUAAUUCUACAGAAGUGCUGCUUUGUUUUUCUCAGUGCCUCACACCCAGUGGCACAUAUCAUCACCACUGGUGAUGCUAACCUCGAUUGCUCAACCACAUUGUCUGCCAGCUCCCGCCUACUUAAAUUCAACAUUUUGCCUUUUGCAAUUUAUUUGUGUUUUGUGGGAACAUAUUUUCAUUUCUGAAAUUAGUCAAUAUCCUGUUCCUUAUCAAACUUCCAACUCUGGUCUUAGCAUCCAUUGACUGAAUCAAGUGCCUUUGUGUAAGUUUCCACAUGAUGAGUGUCUAUUUCCAUCAUUGGUUCUAUUUUUAUGAGCUGGUAUUUUACUAUAAGAAAUAGCAUAUUAUUUUCUAUGCUUAAACCACUGCAAGUUUGACCCUUUCAAGCUGGUUUUUGUGUCCUUUUGACAUAUUCCCAUUGUUCAUUGAGCAUUUCCUUAUUUUCUGGCAUAAGAAGAUGUUCCAAGUGCAACUUGUAUAUUACCUGUUUCAGCCCUGGAAUCAGACAUUUUCCUAAGGAUCCUUGGUUUCUUUGAAUAAAGGAUACUAUUUAGAAGCCAA
ensembl:lncRNA MAP4K3-DT MAP4K3 divergent transcript